UUGUUUUUAUUUUUUUAUUUUCUUUGUUUAUUAUUUUCAAAGUAACAAAAAUUUUAUGGAUUUUUAAUUAAUAAAAAUAUUAUUAUUUGUAUCCAGGGUAUUAUAUAAAAUUAUAUAAAAUGAUUGUAGAUGUCAAUAAAGAUAAUUUCAGAGGCCUUUAUAUAUUUUCAAUAAUUUUAUAUAAUAUUAUUUUUAUGCUUUUUUAAACUUAUUUAUUUUUAUGCUUUUUCAGUCACAUAUUAGUCAAAUCACUUUUGGAUUAGUUUCAAAAUAUGGAAAAGGGUAUUAGUUAUUGAACAAUCAAUUAGAGAGUUUGAUAAAUUAAUAUGUCCCAAUUAUAUGUUGAAAAAUUAAAUAAAUAGAAAAUUGAAGUUUUAUGAGGUAAAAAAUAUAUGGUGUCUAUUAAAUUCUAUUUUUGUUGUUUUAACAGUUUUGUAGGCAUUUUAUACGGACUCAAUAUUCUAUCUUUAGAAAUAAAAUUUAGUUAUAUACAAUAAUAUGACUAGAGGUACAUACAAAAUUCAAGCAAUAAAGAUUCAGUUAAAAAUUUUAAAAAAAAUAAAAAAAUCAUUCAAAAAUAAAAGAAAACAUGUCUAAGAGUGAAAAUAUUGUUUAUUUCAUUAUCUAUUUAGUGAUAUUUUUGGUGGUUUCAACAGAGAAAAUAGCUGCUGAAAAACUGGACCGUGAUUGUCAAGGACAGCCACUCCUUGUGGCACCGCCAAAGAUUUGUGAUAAAAAGAGUGAAUGUGACCGUCAUUGCAAGGCUCCACCACUUAAUUUUGUAAGAGGCGCAUGUGUCAUUCCCAAGAGGGCGAGUACCAAAGUUUGCACUUGCUAUCGGAACCAGGCUGAUUGCAAGGCACCACCACGCUGAAGAGAGCUACGGACUUGACCGGUCAACAAAAAAAAUAUCGGUUUAUAGUUUUCUAAUAAUUUACUUACUAUUUUCUCUGUUUAUAAAUAUUAAUAUUUAAAUAUUUCACUCAUAUUAAGAUGUAAAAAUAAAUUAUUUUAUUAAUUAUUCAUUUUAUUUUAUUUUUUUGUGACAUGUAACUAUCGUAUACUGAUAUAAACCAAGAGUGACAUGUAAAAUUUUCGGAAAAUAAAAUAAAAGGAGAAUAAGUUUUU